rnacentral:rRNA from 1 species
GAUAAGUGCUGAAAGCAUCUAAGUACGAAGCCCACCUCAAGACAAGGUCUCCCACUGGGUUAACCAGGUAAGACCCCAGCGAGACUAGCUGGUUGAUAGGCCGCAGGUGUAAGACGGGCAACCGUUUCAGCUGAGCGGUACUAAUAGGUCGAGGGCUUGACCAU